GACGAACGCUGGCGGCGUGCCUAACACAUGCAAGUCGAACGGAACUGUUUUGAAAGAUUUCUUCGGAAUGAAUUUGAUUUAGUUUAGUGGCGGACGGGUGAGUAACGCGUGAGUAACCUGCCUUCAAGAGGGGGAUAACAUUCUGAAAAGAAUGCUAAUACCGCAUGACAUAUCGGAAUCACAUGGUUCUGAUAUCAAAGAUUUUAUCGCUUGAAGAUGGACUCGCGUCCGAUUAGUUAGUUGGUGAGGUAACGGCUCACCAAGACCGCGAUCGGUAGCCGGACUGAGAGGUUGAACGGCCACAUUGGGACUGAGACACGGCCCAGACUCCUACGGGAGGCAGCAGUGGGGGAUAUUGCGCAAUGGGGGCAACCCUGACGCAGCAACGCCGCGUGAAGGAUGAAGGUUUUCGGAUUGUAAACUUCUUUUAUUAAGGACGAAAAAUGACGGUACUUAAUGAAUAAGCU
rnacentral:rRNA from 1 species